rnacentral:rRNA from 1 species
CAGCCGCCACGGUAAAACGUAGGGUGCAAGCGUUAAUCGGAAUUACUGGGCGUAAAGCGUGCGUAGGCGGUUUGUUAAGUCUGCUGUGAAAUCCCCGGGCUCAACCUGGGAAUGGCAGUGGAUACUGGCUCGCUAGAGUGUGUCAGAGGAUGGUGGAAUUCCCGGUGUAGCGGUGAAAUGCGUAGAGAUCGGGAGGAACAUCAGUGGCGAAGGCGGCCAUCUGGGACAACACUGACGCUGAGGCACGAAAGCGUGGGGAGCAAACAGGAUUAGAUACCCGCGUAGUCCCUGUCUCUUAUAC